CUUGUCCUUCUAAGAUGUACGAUGGAUUCAGAAAUUAUCAAAUUCAAAAGUUUUUUUUGUACAAAACACAGAUCCACUUCCAUAUAAUAUCAUAUAAUUAAAUACGAGAUAAAAUAUUCUAUAUUUACACAGGGCGACUUGGAAUAGUUGUAUGUUGGCUUCAGAUGUUUUGACAGACUAGUUUCCUCUGCGGGUGACGGUUGAAACAUGACCUUUUUUUUCUGUCAAAUCAAACCAAAAAAUAUUUGUAAAUGUAAGUCUAUUCUUUUACUUCAUCAUAUAGCAAUAACUCCAUUUCUUGAAGUUAACUUCCUGUUGACGACACUAAGGUUUUUAUAUGGCGGAGACUGCUUAAAACAAUAGCGAAGCUCUCAGAAACAGAGCUACAAGAAAGACACGUACCGGCGGCAAGAAACUAGUAAUUUGAUCUAGCUUUGUACUGCCGGCACUGCAGCUAGUCUCUGGAGCGAAAUGGCCCAUAAUUAUUACGUUUGUAGCAGAGGUUUCUCUAGCCGGGACCCGGGGCCUCUGCUCGAUGCAAGACCGUCUUUAGAGAUUUGAAACAUGUCGUUUAGAGAUACCGCGUCAUGAAGGUUUGAAGGUGAGCAACGGAGCGUGAGUCUUCCAAACGAUUGGUUCUCCUGACCACUGGUCGCUAUCUUCGCUUCAAGGAAAAAAAAUAUACGGACACCAUCAGGAAACUCUUGACACUUGAGAGAGGAACAUGUCAACGAGAAUUAGAAAUAAUUGAAGAUACAGCCCAAUGACUAGUCACUUCUGUUCAUUUGUCCUGUCUAUAGUUUUCUAUAUAAAAGACGCCGAGAUGAAACUUGGACCUGAACCCAUUAGCCAAGAUCAACUUCUAGGGUCUACAUAACUUACUGCUUGUGAAAGAAAACAUGAAGAUCAAAUCACUUAUACAGCAUAAUAAACUGUCUGAGCAGAAACUCAGUCAUCCAAAGUGCAACAACAAGCCUGACGGAGAGCGUACGUAUUGUCCGGCGUGCGUGAGCUCUUUACGGCGCGGUUGUACAAUUUUAACUCUAAUCUAUCGAGCUGUUUGGAAGAGUGUCCAUACGAUUACUGAAUUAUUCACGACACUAGAAAACGAGUGAUCACUUCCAUGGCGGUUCUCCCAGGGAGCGACAAAUGACCCAGAGACAUGCAAGACUUUUUGUCCUCGCUGUUUUAGGUAAAUCAAUAUUUGCAUUAAUUAGAAUGUACGACAAAAGUCUCGACGACACAAAUGUUUAGGGUCUCUAAGGCACGGUAUUUUCGCCGUUCCGCCGUCUCUUGCUGAUAGAUGGCGGUAAAAACAAGAGUCCCCCCAGAGUGCAAACGAGCGGAAUCUACAAACGUAUAGUAUCGGACGUAAAACAAAUAAGUGACAAUAUAUAUUGCAAUGUAAGAGAGUUCUUCCUUCAAAGUUAUUCGGC